rnacentral:rRNA from 1 species
UACGUAGGGGGCAAGCGUUGUCCGGAAUCGUUGGGCGUAAAGAGCGUGUAGGCGGCCAGAUAAGUCCGCUGUGAAAUCUCGAGGCUCAACUUCGAGCUGUCGGUGGAAACUGUCUGGCUAGAGUCCGGAAGAGGAGAAUGGAAUUCCUGGUGUAGCGGUGAAAUGCGCAGAUAUCAGGAAGAACACCCGUGGCGAAGGCGGUUCUCUGGGACGGUACUGACGCUGAGACGCGAAAGCGUGGGGAGCGAACAGG